ensembl:lncRNA
CUGAAUCUGUGGCCACAUGAAGCCAGCUGGAGGACUCCCCAAGGCCCCUCUCCAGGAUGUGUGGCAGGUCCUCCUGAACCAACACUGUGUCUUCUGGUGGCCACAUUGAGGCCAGGCCACAUCAGCCAGUGCCCGUCAUUUAAUCCUCCCAGCGAGCUCAAAUGGGGCUCACAACCCCAUGUUACAGUGGAGAAAACUGAAGCUCAGAGCCACAAAAGUCACCCACGCUUUCUCAGACACAGCCUCGAUUGCUGAAGGCGCAAAGUCAUGGCCCCUCCAAGGUCAUUCAAGUGUGCCCAGGACAUACUCACUGAGGAGACAACAUCUGACCAAAGACCCAUGAGAGUGAAGCAACACCCCGAUCUGGAAGAAGAGUGUUCUAGGCAAAACAGCCAGUGCAAAGGGCUUGGGGUCAGAAACAUGCCUGGCUUGUGGCUGGGGUGGGGAAGUAGCUGCCUAGUGUGCACAGUGGUACCUUGUCCUCAGCAACAGUGCCCUACCAGGGCCACAUGGUAUCUGGUUUGAGCCCCCUACCCCCCCCCCCCCCGCUGUGAACAGGAAUCAUUCCCUAUGGUUGGCACUCCCAUUCUCC